rnacentral:rRNA from 1 species
AGAGUUAAACAGUACGUGAAAUUGUUGAAAGGGAAACGAUUGAAGCCAGUCGUAUCAGCGGAUAAUCAACCUUUAGAUGCGAUUUUGUGGAGUGUGAGGAGCUAAUCGCCUUCAUGCCUGUAUAUUCGUGUACUUGGGGUGUACUUAUUCGUGUGGUAAGUUAACAUCAAUUUUGGUUAUCAUAAAAUGACUGGAGGAAUGUAGCUUCGAUUUCGUAUUGAAGUGUUAUAGCCUUCGGUAGAUGUGAUGAACGAGAUUGAGGAUUGCAACGGAUACCCUUCGGGGCUACCUGUCUGGUCUCUGAUCGUUGCUCUGGUGCCGAAAGCUUGCUUACGGUUAUCAAAGUCGAUGGUCAAAAGGUUAGAACGAAUUACAUUCGUUAAGGAUGUUGACGUAAUGACUUUAAACGACC